GUAAUCGGAAGUCUACUGGACGAAUGCGGGAACGUUGCGAUAUUUCCUGCUUAAUAUUUUCAGGCACAAUGAAUGAUAUUAAGGGCAGGUGCGCCACAUUGGGGGAAGAUGCAAAGAAAAAAUACAUUCAAGAGGCAGCAGCACUGAGGGCACAUGGGCAGGCACAGGACACUAAACCCUGAGAUGGAGGCAAUUUGUGCUGUGUCUGCCACGUCCAUUUUGAUGAUAAGAAGAAGAAUGCAAGAAAGAAGUGGCGCUCAUUGUCUCAGUGCACAGUGUGCCAAUCAUGGUCACACACAGGACGUGGCUUUAAAAAGAACAUGUGCGUUCACUGCCAGGGUCAAGACACCAUGCUAACACCCUGAAGAUGUAUCUUGUUACUUGUUUGAGUUGUUUUUACUGUGUUGACGGCCCCCAACCCAUCCAUACAAACACACACACACACACACACACACACACACACACAAUACAUACAUAUGCUGCAAAUUCAUUGUAAUGACCACACUUCACACGUAAGAAGAAAAUUGUGAUCUUUUUGUUAUUUUCAUUCACCCCAUUUUUUAUUUAUUAUUGUUGUUUGUUGGCACCAUCAAUGUGUUCUCCUUUAUACAGGACUUAUGUGGGGACCAAUAAAGUUAUAUUGUACUGAA